AAACUCAAAGGAAUUGACGGGGGCCCGCACAAGCGGUGGAGCAUGUGGUUUAAUUCGAAGCAACGCGAAGAACCUUAACCAGGUCUUGACAUCCCGAUGCCCGCUCUAGAGAUAGAGUUUUUCUUCGGAACAUCGGUGACAGGUGGUGCAUGGUUGUCGUCAGCUCGUGUCGUGAGAUGUUGGGUUAAGUCCCGCAACGAGCGCAACCCUUAUUGUUAGUUGCCAUCAUUGAGUUGGGCACUCUAGCGAGACUGCCGGUAAUAAACCGGAGGAAGGUGGGGAUGACGUCAAAUCAUCAUGCCCCUUAUGACCUGGGCUACACACGUGCUACAAUGGCUGGUACAACGAGUCGCAAGUCGGUGACGGCAAGCUAAUCUCUUAAAGCCAGUCUCAGUUCGGAUUGUAGGCUGCAACUCGCCUACAUGAAGUCGGAAUCGCUAGUAAUCGCGGAUCAGCACGCCGCGGUGAAUACGUUCCCGGGCCUUGUACACACCGCCCGUCACACCACGGGAGUUUGUAACACCCGAAGUCGGUGAGGUAACCUUUUAGGAGCCAGCCGCCUAAGGUGGGAUAGAUGAUUGGGGUGAAGUCGUAACAAGGUAGCCGUA
rnacentral:rRNA from 1 species